CCAGGUCUUUGUACUAGUCAAGAGGCUCUUGUCUGUCUCUGUAGGUAAUGUUCUAAAAAACUUUCUUUAAAAAAUGGUAAUUUGAAACAUAGUAUGAUUUUAGUGGAUGUCUGCUUUCAGUUUUCUUAGGAAAAAAAAAAGAGAGAAAAAAAAGAGAAAAAAAAAGAAAAAAAAGGAAAAAAAAGAGAAACAACUGAAGCUGAAGACAAUCAACACCAUCUCAUAGGAGUUCAGCACUUUGUCACAGCAGAACAGAAGUCAAUUAUGGAAAUAACUGCAUUAUUGGUAUAUUUGGUUGUAUUUGAGUACUUAAAUUCAAGAAUGUGAUUCAUAGCAUCUACAUGGUACUCAGGCAGCUACAAGUCCAUAGGCAUCUAAAUUCUGACUGGAAAACUUUGAUGGGAACCUAAAGUCGCAUGAGACUCCAUAUAGCCAGAGAUAUUGCCACCUUAUUUGUGUUAGAAUAUCAAAGUGCUCGUCUCAGAUCUAUGUCUGUGAGGGAUCAGCACACACUCAUGCCUGAAUUCCCCCAGGAUCUGUGCUGGGAAGCAUGGACACUCAUCCCCAUACAGAAAUCUUCAUGAGGAUCCACCAAGAGACUUUUCAUUACCUGGGCAAAUCAUUCUGGUUUGGAGGGGGCAGGAGCAUGCUUGGAGCAGCAACACAGAAGGUUCAGGUUGCGUGGAGGUGUGUUGAGACCCAGCAGUGGCUGCUGUGUGAGGCCGAGAUGCUGCUGACGCCUGUGGGAAGUUAUUGACCACCUUUACCCAGCACAACCCUGCAUGCGUCAUCCUGACCCACUGCCUGCAUGGUGUCCCCAUGAGCCCUUCCUGAGAGCCAGAAGGGAUGGCCAAGGACAUGUUUUGGCCUGGGAAAACCUCCCGGGGUUGGAGCUGCCCCUUCUGAGUGGCCACCUCCAGCUCACUACAAUGAUGUCCACCUCUCUUAUCAUUAAUUGCUCUUCCUGACAUAAAAUAACUACAGAAUCUGGAAUUUUGGCUAAGGGUUAGGGUUAAAAAAAUAGAAAAAAAAUAUAAAAAAAGAAGAGGAAUAGUAAUUUAAAUGCAUGAGGUGCGUCUGGUUCUCUGCAGGCAUCCUGCAAGAUUAAUUUUCUUUUCCUCCUUACCUCCUACCUGAGGCACCCAUUGUCUACAGUGCAUGAUUCACUUGGGAAUGUAAUUUAUUUUUUUUUUUGAAACUGUCCUUCUUUGGUAUUUCUGUGUUUUUUUAUUUUGUUUCUUUUUUGUUUUCCUUUCCUUGGAACAUCCCAGUUGCAGGAAAUAUUAAUCACUUCCGAGUUUGUUCUGAUUUGGUCCAAAACUGAAAAUAAAAAUAAAAAGGCAAAU
rnacentral:lncRNA from 1 species